GGAUGCGAUCAUACCAGCACUAACGCAUCGGAUCCCUUCAAAACUCCGAAGUGAAGCGUGCUUGGGCGAGAGUAGUGCUAGGAUGGGUGACCCCCUGGGAAGUCCUCGUGUUGCAUCUC
rfam:Nicotiana sylvestris Nsyl_contig33636, whole genome shotgun sequence.